rnacentral:rRNA from 1 species
CCUACGGGAGGCAGCAGUGGGGAAUUUUGGACAAUGGGCGCAAGCCUGAUCCAGCUAUUCCGCGUGUGGGAUGAAGGCCCUCGGGUUGUAAACCACUUUUGUAGAGAACGAAAAGACACCUUUUAAUAUAGGGUGUUGCUGACGGUACUCUAAGAAUAAGGAUCGGCUAACUACGUGCCAGCAGCUGCGGUAAUACGUAGGGUGCGAGCGUUAAUCGGAUUUACUGGGUGUAAAGGGCGCGUAGGCGGUUGAGUAAGAUAGAUGUGAAAUCCCCGGGCUUAACUCCGGAAUGGCAUAUGUGACUGCUCGACUAGAGUGUGGCAGAGGGAGGUGGAAUUCAACGUGUAGCAGUGAAAUGCGUAGAGAUGUGGAAGAACACCGAUGGCGAAGGCAGCCUCCUGAGACAUAACUGACGCUCAGGCACGAAAGCGUGGGGAGCAAACAGGAUUAGAUACCCGUGUAGUC